UACGGGGGGGGCAAGCGUUGUUCGGAAUUACUGGGCGUAAAGGGUUCGUAGGUGGCCAACUAAGUCAGACGUGAAAUCCCUCAGCUUAACUGGGGAACUGCGUCUGAUACUGGUUGGCUUGAGUGCAGGAGAGGAACGCGGAAUUCCAGGUGUAGCGGUGAAAUGCGUAGAUAUCUGGAGGAACGCCGGUGGCGAAGGCGGCGUUCUGGACUGCAACUGACACUGAGGAACGAAAGCCAGGGGAGCAAACGGG
rnacentral:rRNA from 1 species